CAAAGCAAGCCAGCAGCACCUCGUGGGAAGAAAAUUGUCACUGAGGUUUCCUAAAGUUUAAGUGCACCCCUUGGCAAGCGGAGCGCGUUUUCACGGUGCUCGAUACUUGGUGCUUAUGGUUCACGAUGCUCAAGGUGUUAAAGAGAUUAAUGUUGGUGGUGUUCAACCCUCCUGCACACCCUUGAUGCAAAAGAAUAAAAGUACUGCACUUGUCAAAA